rnacentral:lncRNA from 1 species
GGAGAAUCUGUGCCUCUGCAUCAGCCCCAAAGACCUGCAGCAUUGAGCGUGUCCUGCGGAAAACAGAGAGGUUCCAGAAAUGGCUGCAGGCCAAGCGCCUCACGCCGGACCUGGUGCAGUGACGAUUCGAGAAAGUUCCUAGCUGCGACCUCUGGCCUGAAGAUCUGACAGGAUGACCCUUGCCAGUCCACCCCUCUGCCAGGGCUCAACUCACCUGCAUCAUUCUCUGACAGCUCUUUGCCAG